UUGAUAUAAAAUUAAUGAAAUUAGUAUAAAUAGAACCAAAAAAUAUGGAACACUCACAAAAUCUUUUUCCCUAACAAAUUACAUACAUACACACACACAAAAGUUGAGUUUUUAGAAAAGAAAAACGAAGAAUGGAGAGGAAGCAAGUCCAAUUAGUCACUUAUUUAUUUCUCGCCACAGUGAUGCUGCAAAUGGUUUACGUGAAGGCACAAACAUGUAGCAAUUUGAAUGACCCAUGUCCUCCACAAUGUUGUGAUCCGGAACAUGCAUGCUGGACAAAUCCAAUCGAUCCAGCCGGUAGUAAGAUUUGUACAAAUUGUGAGUCGCACAAAGGGCACCCUUGUACCGUUGGUGGACCACGUGAUUGUUGUCCUGGAAGUGGAUUUAUCUGUGUAAAUACUCAAAGUAAUGGUUACCAGUGUCUUUAAUUUAUAGCGCACGCGCUUAAAGUCUUGCCACAAUCAUCAUCAUGAUCGAUGUUGCGUGCAUCUUAUCUCUGUCUGAUUUCGAUUAUAUUUAUAUUUAUAUUUGUCGUUGUUGUGUGCCGGUACCUUCCACUAGAUCCUACUUCAGGGUCUAAUGGAUGUGCUGUUCUUUUCGUUUGAGUGAUUGAAUUCGAUAUACUGCUUGAUCUGGUUUAUGAUCUACUCCCUCUGUUCCAUAA